AACGCACAUUGCGCCCAUUAGUAUUCUAGUGGGCAUGCCUGUCCGAGCGUCAUUUCAACCCUCAGACACCUAUAUGUCUGGCGUUGGGGCGUUCUAUAGCACUUUGCUAUAGGCCUUAAAAAUUAGUGGCGGGCCCCUUGAAGACCCUGAACGCAGUAAUUUUUUUUCUCGUUCCCGGCGUUUUAGGGGCUGCCCAGCCGUCAAAUUUCUAAAUUUCAAAAGUCUGACCUCGGAUCAGGUAGGAUUACCCGCUGAACUUAA
rnacentral:misc_RNA from 1 species